ensembl:lincRNA
CUGAAUUCAGACAGUUGUGAAAUAGCUAUAUGGUACAUACAUCCUCCCAGAUGUCUUCUGGAACUGGGGCACUGCUUCUGUUCAAUCAAGAAGGGUCCAGGGCCAGAGAUACAGCUCAGCAGCAAAGCACCUGCCCGGCAAGCACAAGGUCAUGAGUUCGAUUCCUGGUACAAAAAAAAAAAAGGGGGUCCAGGUGUAGUGACAGUGACUAGAGCCCUCACCCUCACACGAGCCCCAGGGGCACCCUGGACAGGGGAAGCAGACAUCCCUGAGCAGAGGAGAAGUCACAGUGACAUCAUCACAACCUUGUCCUGCAAAUCCUUACCAGGACUUAACAGUAGAACUAGGAGAAGGGCUGCCCUUAGGUCAGGGGUUACUGGACCCCAGGGUGGACCUCACAGAAGAGAGACAAGGGCCAGGCCUGAACGUGGCUGGGAUACACACACGCAACAGCAGCUCCCCUUGGCACAAGGACAACCACAGGGACAGGAGAAGCUAAGCAGAGACCCUGGCACUCCUGUCCGCAGCGGUGCGCUGAUGCCCAGAUCACCCAGAGGUUCUUGUGUAAUUGGGCAUGCCUGCUUGCUGCCGUGUGCAGGAAUCCUAUCUUGAGAGGAAGAAUGUAAGCUAAAAAACAUCACCAGCCAGAGCUACAGCAAAUACACAGAACGCAUCAGGAGCACUGCUGUUCUUGCCUGGCUGCAACAGCAGUGCCUGUCAGGAAAAAGAAAAAGAAGAAAGAGAGGUCUAAACUCCACAGGACAGGUUUACUUCAGAACAAACCUGAGAGGGCCCACACUGGCACUGAGACCAGACCAGCUGUAGACCCCUCUACAUGCAAUGGGGUCUUCUGUAGGGUCGUGGGGAGCAGGGGCUCAGUGACAGGCUGCGGCUCCCUACCAAGAGCAGGGCUUGAGUGAACCCAGUGGCAGUGGCUGCCCUAGGACAAGCAGGACUGUGUCAGGAGUCCCGGGUGCAGCUGUGCUGGGAGGGGCAGUUUCCAGGGGUCCCUGACCUGGAUGGCAGUGGUCAGAGUCCUUUGUUGCAGACUCUCUGGUUAGAUAAGGAAAAUGGGCAGCUUAUCUCUUUCUUAAUCACUUCUUGCUGAUUGAGGGGGCGGGCAAUUGUUGGGGUUUGGGCUGAAGAAGAAAACCCCUGUUGAUGUGAUCUUUGGCUACUGCCUGUGAAAAUGGCCAAGAUCCUGUCGGUGAGAAAUCUUUGAAACAGGCUGAUUAGGCAUUGCAAUAAAGGCACUAUGAAAGGAAAAGUCCAAGAUAGGAUAGUGGACUUCCACAAAUCCCAUGGACUCUGCAAGGUGUCCCAGGACAUUAGUCAUGCUGCCUGGAUCUCUGUGUCUGUGUCCUGCACCGCUGCAGUUACAUCAUCACGAUUAUCUGGGAUGAAAGUACAAUAUGUUGUAUGAAGCAUGUUGCAUGUGCCCUCUCAGGCAGCUGUAAAGAUAUCUAAAUCCAUGCCAUUUUGUAAAAAUACUGUUUUCAUUUGGUAUGUUUCAUCUACUAAUAAAAUUAUAGUUCUACGAGUGGCAUUUAAUGCAUGGGUUAGAUGUUGGGCUAAGGCCUCUACAUCCAAGUUUACCUUAAUGACAGCUACUCCCAGAAGGGUCAUAGAUAUAGGGGAAAAUGACG